ensembl:lncRNA
GAUGAUUAUAACCGCAGGUCACGCUAAACAAAUCAGUAAGAGAUCAAAGUGCAGUCAGCUUCACAAUUAAAAGAAAGAAAGAAAGAAAGAAACACUCCCUUCCCUUGGCCUCUUGUGCAUGUGUGUGUGUGUGUGUGUUUAAAACUUUAUGACAGAUCCAUCUAGAACAGCCAGGGCUUCAUUGUGCGGUCUGGGUUUUUACGAGCGUGAUGUUUGCGCACGGUUUUACGGCACACGGAUACAGUAUUAAUCUCCACGUGGAAGCAGAGCCGUUAUGAACCGCAGGGCUCCGAGACGACUCACCGCGAGCCUCGCUCUCGACACACCUCACGCUGCGAGUGGGACAGGACGCGAGAUGUACGGGUUUGCGAAAGGCUCUCCGUCGCUGCCAGAGAGACGUGCAUGUUUUAGCCCGAGUUACCGAAUUCACCGGCUUCCCCUCGGGCACGGUCGAGGACCGUCGAGUCUGACGAGUCGAACGCAUCCACGCGUCCUGACUCGUCUUCGCUCGCUCACCGACAGCGCUCAGGUUCGGACUUGACUUGCUCAGGGGGAAGGCGAACGGGUUUACAAACGAUUAAUUCUACUCUGAAAGGACUAAAAAAAAAAAAAAAAAAAAAACAUAAAAUAAAAAGACACCGCCCUGCUUCUCGACUGAUCGUGUAGAAAAUGAACAGUACAAAUACAGGAAUAGUGGCAGUCCGAUCACUAUUCGCACAGGGGUCUGCAAAAGACAUCGCCCUCAGUAUAUGUGGAGGAACAAAUGGAGUAAAUAAGACGAGCCUGGUGUCCGACAUUUGUUUCUAAGCCAAGAGAUUAACGUACUUACAAAACACCUGAAGUCCGCGUUCACUCACUGACUCAGUGACUCACUCAGUCACUCACUCAACUCACUCAGUCACUCACUCACUCAGUCACUCAGUCACUCAGUCACUCAGUCACUCGACUCACUCACUCACUCACUCGACUCACUCACUCACUCACUGACUCACUCACUCACUCACUCGACUCACU